UUUUGUCUUGAAGUCCACGGCGAUGUGCAAGGCGAUGUGGAUUUAUUUAAAUAGGAAAUUUGCAUGCCAAAAACUGCAAAAAUCGAAUUAUAAUACAUAAAUAACAGCUCCCACAAGGGAAAAAACGGUUCGCCUUUACACUUGCGGAUUCAACUGAAACGCGAAAAAGGCUUGCAAAGAAACAUGCAGCUCCACCGAAACAUGUUAUUAGUCGCUGAUGCAAGAAC